GCCUCGAGAGCACUUCUGUGGGCUGUUCCUGGAGCAGGCUUGGUGUUACAGAGCCUGAGCAGAUCUUGACAACCCAGGGGUGUCCAGAUGGCCAGGGGCACUGGAGGGAAACCUGUGCUGGUCUCAUUCAGGCCACCUCCAUCACAGAAGUGCUCUGCCUGACUGCGGUCUUUGGGAGACUGGUCCAUUUUUUGCCAAGGUCACUCCUCAGAAGGUUUUCUGGAAGGACACCGAAAACAUCUGCAUCAUGGUCACCAUCGCGAUGUUCCUACCAGACGCCCACCUGGAUGCCCGCUGCAGACCUCCCCUCCCUUGCUGCAGAGUGUCUGUGAGCCUCUCGGAUGACCGAGCCCGGGACCCCUGGGGUCUGCACCCUUCCCACCUGUGGUCUUCAACCCCAGCCAGCCCAAAUGCCUCUGUGCCCCGCAUGGACCCCCACUCGUCCUCUGCACAGGGUGGUUCCUGUGCCUGGAAAGCCCUCUUCUCGCCCUUUCUCUAAAGAUUGGCUCAUCUUUCACUCUUUGUGGGCAGAGCCCUCACAACAUGCGGAGUAGCUGUACUUUCCCGAUACCUAGGAACAUCUUCAUUUUCUAUUAUGAAAAAGUAACAUGAACACUCUUCAUCUGAGGAGGUACCUGUGA